rnacentral:rRNA from 1 species
GACGAACGCUGGCGGCGUGCUUAACACAUGCAAGUCGAGCGGUAAGGCCCUUUCGGGGGUACGACGAGCGGCGAACGGGUGAGUAACACGUGGGUGACCUGCCCUCAGCUCUGGGAGUAAGCCUGGGAAACCGGGUCUAAUACUGGAUAUGACUCCAUGACGCAUGUUGUGGGGUGGAAAGCCUUGUGCGGCUGAGGAUGGGCCCGCGGCCUAUCAGCUUGUUGGUGGGGUGANGGCCUACCAAGGCGACGACGGGUAGCCGGCCUGAGAGGGCGACCGGCCACACUGGGACUGAGACACGGCCCAGACUCCUACGGGAGGCAGCAGUGGGGAAGUCUUGCGCAAUGGGCGAAAGCCUGACGCAGCGACGCCGCGUGAGGGAUGACGGCC